GCAAGCAUAGCUCAGUUGGUAGAGCGACAGUUUGUGGCGCUGUAUGUCGCGUGUUCGAAUCACGUUGCUUGCCCCA
rnacentral:tRNA from 1 species